UUUUUCGGUAACAUUAAUCUUGAGAAAUAGAGGUCGCCAGUAGCUAGUAUGACGUGAAGCUAUAUAAUACGAGCUGAGUGCACCUGAUCUGAGGCGUGUUCUCUGGUCGUUUUCCGCCGACUCCGCGUGAGCUCCAAUUGGUGGACGUUCAGUCAUCGACGUGGUAGUUGGUGCACGCUGGAGUGUCAAUUGAAGUUAUUUUCAGUGCAAUCGCCAGACUGGAGAACACGGAGAAAAUAUCACGUUUUCGAGGCAGCGUCGUGCAACGAUUGAGUGGUUACCGGUCUCCAGUUGAACAUACCAAGAGGUGCACAGAGAUAU